rnacentral:rRNA from 1 species
AUACGGAGGAUCCGAGCGUUAUCCGGAUUUAUUGGGUUUAAAGGGAGCGUAGGCGGACGCUUAAGUCAGUUGUGAAAGUUUGCGGCUCAACCGUAAAAUUGCAGUUGAUACUGGCUGUCUUGAGUACCGUAGAGGUGGGCGGAAUUCGUGGUGUAGCGGUGGAAUGCUUAGAUAUCACGAAGAACUCCGAUUGCGAAGGCAGCUCACUGGACUGCAACUGACACUGAUGCUCGAAAGUGUGGGUAUCAAACAGGAUUAGAUACCCUGGUAGUCCACACAGUAAACGAUGAAUACUCGCUGUUUGCGAUAUACAGUAAGCGGCCAAGCGAAAGCAUUAAGUAUUCCACCUGGGGAGUACGCCGGCAACGGUGAAACUCAAAUGAAUUGACGGGG